rnacentral:lncRNA from 1 species
GAAAUCGAACACGUUUGCUUUUGCGAUUCGAGAGCCCUUUCUGGCGCGGAGCUAGGGGCGGUGUUACGUAGCUGCCCUGAACUGAGAGCAGCGUUGGCCGGGGGCUAGGGAGCCGGGCUGUUCCACGCUCACUGUGCGCCUCGGGCGGCGGGGCUCGGGCUCUGUCCGAGGUGCUGAACUCCGGGGCUCCGGCCGCGCCGGCAGAGUGUGCCAGCGUCCAUUAUUGCCAGUGUCUGUGGGCAUCUUCCAGAAGGCCGAGCAUGGGGGUCAGGUGAAACCAGGGCGCCAUGUGAGACUCGCCUGCUUCUCCUUUGCCUCCCACCAUGACUGUAAGUUUCCUGCGACCUCCCCAGCCGUGCUUCCUGUACAGCCUGCAGAACUCAGGAUGGCCUGGACUUCCUCACAGUAUGGUGGCUGGGGAGCAAGAGGAAAAGGCCCAAUGUGCAAGCACUUAUGGAGCCUCUGCCUGCAUCACAUUUGCUAAUGUCCCAUUGGCUAAAGCAAAUCACAUGGCCAAGCUCAAGUCUAUGUGGAAGGAGACUACACAAGAACAGAAAUACUGGGAGGCAUAAUUCUCCAACAGCUGCAAAGUAACAGUCUAUCACAAUUUCUAAUUCCAGCUCUUGCAGCCAGAAGACACUGUUGGGUUUUUAGAUGCAGGGACAGCCCAGAGAUCCAAGCAGAGGAAAUACGUUUGGCUCUGGGAGAGUCUGGAGUCUUAUUAGCAGCUAAAGAGCCUGACUGGGUUGUUGCAUGUGACUCCAUGGUGCAAUACAGCCUCUCCAGCCCAGGGGCCAUGACAAUAAGAAGCCUCCAUAACUGGGAGCCAGUGAAUGAAGGUAUCCUGAACAAGCAUGAAAAGAAGUAUCAGCUCAAACAGAAGUUCUAUGGGUCUAGGAUGGGAUCUUGGCCCCAGAGUGGGAAGCGGAAGAAUAAACACCCCAGCUUCCUGGCCCCUCAGGUGUGUUCUGGACCACCUCCCAGAAUCCCAGCAAGACUGAAGUCCAGGUGCCUACAACAUAACCUUCUCAUUGGCACUCUUUAAUGGUUUCCAUCCCUCCAUCCCUGUCAUAAUUCUUCCCUAUUAGGGCUUCCUGGGGUCACCUUUCAAAUAAACCACUUAUAC